rnacentral:rRNA from 1 species
GACGAACGCUGGCGGCGUGCUUAACACAUGCAAGUCGAACGGAAAGGCCCUGCUUUUGUGGGGUGCUCGAGUGGCGAACGGGUGAGUAACACGUGAGUAACCUGCCCUUGACUUUGGGAUAACUUCAGGAAACUGGGGCUAAUACCGGAUAGGAGCUCCUGCUGCAUGGUGGGGGUUGGAAAGUUUCGGCGGUUGGGGAUGGACUCGCGGCUUAUCAGCUUGUUGGUGGGGUAGUGGCUUACCAAGGCUUUGACGGGUAGCCGGCCCGAGAGGGUGACCGGCCACAUUGGGACUGAGAUACGGCCCAGACUCCUACGGGAGGCAGCAGUGGGGAAUAUUGCACAAUGGGCGGAAGCCUGAUGCAGCAACGCCGCGUGCGGGAUGACGGCUUUCGGGUUGUAAACCGCUUUCGCCUGUGACGAAGCGUGAGUGACGGUAAUGGGUAAAGAAGCACCGGCUAACUACGUG